CACAAAGUUUGGAAGAAUGUAUUUCCAGUUUCAUUUCACAGAGAAAGAAUCACCUCAGAAGAAUGAGAUGCAGCAAAGUCAAUGGAAAGAGCACUAACUCCGGAAUCAAAGGACUGGAUGUAAAUCCCAUCUCUGGGGUUUGCAAUCUAUGACUUUGGAGAGAAGAUGGAAGGAUGCUCUGAGAAGGAAGCAAUUUUUCAUUCUUCACUGAAUGAUGAUGAAGAUCCGCAGAUACUAGGAGAAAAACAGAAAGAAGAGAAAGUGAUGGAUGCUAGACUAUAUGAGAAUGCUGAUCUGUGCAAUGAAUUCCACAGAAACUCACCAUGCCAAUGGCAAGACAAUGCCUAUUUGACAGCACUGGAAGAAUCCAAUGAGUGGGUAACUGGACCCUUUGGACAGUGGUUAUUGAUUUGAUCAGCACAAAUGAUCUGAAGUACUUCCAAGUUGUCAUAACCUUGAUGAAUCACAAGAAUAAGUACUUCUUGGUCUCAAUUUUUUUUCCCCCAGAAACAUCCAAAUCUUUUAUAUACAAACUGUCAUGUUCAAGUUUCCUGUAUCCUGUGUUUGGGCAUCAGAAUUUUUAUCCAAAAACAGAAGAUUUCACAUUGAUUAAUUUCAGCUCGCUGAUUUGGGUCCUAUAAUCCAAACUGUUAAGAUUAUUUUAUGACAUAGACUUUCC
rnacentral:lncRNA from 1 species